AUUGAACGCUGGCGGCAUGCCUUACACAUGCAAGUCGAACGGCAGCACGGGUGCUUGCACCUGGUGGCGAGUGGCGAACGGGUGAGUAAUACAUCGGAACAUGUCCUGUAGUGGGGGAUAGCCCGGCGAAAGCCGGAUUAAUACCGCAUACGAUCUACGGAUGAAAGCGGGGGACCUUCGGGCCUCGCGCUAUAGGGUUGGCCGAUGGCUGAUUAGCUAGUUGGUGGGGUAAAGGCCUACCAAGGCGACGAUCAGUAGCUGGUCUGAGAGGACGACCAGCCACACUGGGACUGAGACACGGCCCAGACUCCUACGGGAGGCAGCAGUGGGGAAUUUUGGACAAUGGGCGAAAGCCUGAUCCAGCAAUGCCGCGUGUGAGAAGAAGGCCUUCGGGUUGUAAAGCACUUUUGUCCGGAAAGAAAUCCUUGGCCCUAAUACGGUCGGGGGAUGACGGUACCGGAAGAAUAAGCACCGGCUAACUACGUG
rnacentral:rRNA from 1 species